rnacentral:rRNA from 1 species
AAUAGAUACCCAGGUAGUCCACGCCGUAAACGAUGUCGACUUGGAGGUUGUGCCCUUGAGGCGUGGCUUCCGGAGCUAACGCGUUAAGUCGACCGCCUGGGGAGUACGGCCGCAAGGUUAAAACUCAAAUGAAUUGACGGGGGCCCGCACAAGCGGUGGAGCAUGUGGUUUAAUUCGAUGCAACGCGAAGAACCUUACCUACUCUUGACAUCCAGAGAACUUAGCAGAGAUGCUUUGGUGCCUUCGGGAACUCUGAGACAGGUGCUGCAUGGCUGUCGUCAGCUCGUGUUGUGAAAUGUUGGGUUAAGUCCCGCAACGAGCGCAACCCUUAUCCUUUGUUGCCAGCGGUCCGGCCGGGAACUCAAGGAGACUGCCAGUGAUAAACUGGAGGAAGGUGGGGAUGACGGUCAAGUCAUCAUGGCCCUUACGAGUAGGGCUACACACGUGCUACAAUGGCAUAUACAAAGAGAAGCGACCUCGCGAGAGCAAGCGGACCUCAUAAAGUAUGUCGUAGUCCGGAUUGGAGU